rnacentral:rRNA from 1 species
UGGGGAAUAUUGGACAAUGGGGGGAACCCUGAUCCAGCCAUGCCGCGUGUGUGAAGAAGGCCUUAUGGUUGUAAAGCACUUUAAGCGAGGAGGAGGGUACUGGUAUUAAUACUACCAGCUACUGGACGUUACUCGCAGAAUAAGCACCGGCUAACUCUGUGCCAGCAGCCGCGGUAAUACAGAGGGUGCGAGCGUUAAUCGGAUUUACUGGGCGUAAAGCGUGCGUAGGCGGCUAAUUGAGUCGGAUGUGAAAGCCCCGGGCGCAACCUGGGAACUGCAUCCAAAACUGGCGAGCUAGAGUAGGGCAGAGGGUGGUGUAAUUUCCUGUGUAGCGGUGAAAUGCGUAGAUAUAGGAAGGAACACCAGUGGCGAAGGCGACCACCUGGGCUCAUACUGACACUGAGGUGCGAAAGCGUGGGGAGCAAACAGG